AUGGCGUACUUUUUGUAGAACGGUCCGGCGAGUUACUAAUGCCAGCGAGGUUAAGAUGUCAGAAGCAUCGGAGCCGAAGGGAAACCAAGUCUGAAUAGGGCGUAGAGUUGGUAUUAGUAGACCCGAAACCGGGUGACCUAUCCAUGUCCAGGUUGAAGGAACCGUAAAAGGUUUUGGAGGACCGAACACACAUGUGUUGAAAAACGUGGUGAUGAGGUGUGGAUAGCGGAGAAAUUCCAAUCGAACUCGGAGAUAGCUGGUUCUCCUCGAAAUAGCUUUAGGGCUAGCCUCGAGCUGGAGUCUAACGGAGGUAAAGCACUGAACUGACGCGGGGCCCAAAAAGGUUACCAACUCAUAUCAAACUAAGAAUGCCGUCAAGAUACCCUCGGGAGUCAGUCUGCGUGAGAUAAGUCGCGUGGACAAAAGGGAAAGAGCCCAGACCGACAGCUAAGGUCCCAAAGUACGUGUUAAGUGGAAAAGGAUGUGGGAUUUCAUAGACAACUAGGAUGUUGGCUUAGAAGCAGCCAUACAUUUAAAGAGUGCGUAAUAGCUCACUAGUCGAGAAAACCUGCGCCGAAAAUGUAACGGGGCUAAAACACGACACCGAAGCUACGGAUUCCUUACAAAGUAAGGAGUGGUAGAGGAGCAUCCUGCAAGGACGAAGCCAAAGUGAGAGCGAUGGUGGACGAAACAGGAGAGAGAAUGCCGGAAUGAGUAGCGAGAUACAUGUGAGAAACAUGUAGGCCGAAUAUCUAAGGAUUCCUGGGUAAAGCUAAUCUUCCCAGGGUUAGUCGGGGCCUAAGGCGAGGACGAAAGUCGUAGUCGAUGGAUAACAGGUUGAUAUUCCUGUACUACACAUAAUCAGAACUGUGGGGACGCAGGAGGAUAGGGAAACCGGGGAAUGGAAAGACCCGGUCAAGCGUAAAGCUGUGGGAGAUAGGCAAAUCCGUCUUCUGUAAGUGAAACGUGAUGAGGACUGAAAAAAAGUAAGGAAGUUUCCGAAUCCACACUGCCGAGAAAAGCCGCUAUUGCGUUAUGUGUACCCGUACCGUAAACCGACACAGGUAGAUGAGGAGAAAAUCCACAGGCCGACGGGAGAAGUGUUGUUAAGGAACUCGGCAAAAUGACCCCGUAACUUCGGGAUAAGGGGAGCCUCGCAAGAGGCCGCAGAAAAGAGGCACAAGCAACUGUUUAGCAAAAACAUAGGUCUAUGCGAAACCGUAAGGUGAAGUAUAUGGGCUGACGCCUGCCCGGUGCUGGAAGGUUAAAAGGAGAGGUCAGCGCAAGCGAAGCUUUGAAUUCAAGCCCCAGUAAACGGCGGCCGUAACUAUAACGGGCCUAAGGGAGCGAAAUUCCUUGUCAGGUAAGUUCUGACCCGCACGAAAGGCGUAAUGAUUUGUGCACUGUCUCGACAACACGCCCGGUGAAAUUGAAGAACCAGUGAAGAUACUGGUUACCCGCAACAGGACGGAAAGACCCCAUGGAGCUUUACUGCAGCCUGAUACUGGGAUUCGAUGAUAUAUGUACAGGAUAGGUGGGAGGCUAAGAAGCGAGAACGCCAGUUUUCGUGGAGCCGCCGGUGGGAUACCACUCUUAUGUCAUUGAAUUUCUAACCUGCAUCCGUAAUCCGGGUGAGGGACAAUGUCAGGCGGGCAGUUUGACUGGGGCGGUCGCCUCCUAAAAGGUAACGGAGGCGCUCGAAGGUCACCUCAGAAUGAUUGGAAACCAUUCAAAGAGUGUAAAGGCAAAAGGUGGCUUGACUGCGAGAGCGACGGCUCGAGCAGGUACGAAAGUAGGACUUAGUGAUCCGG
rnacentral:rRNA from 1 species